CCCUUAGAUGUUCGGGGCCGCACGCGCGCUACACUGAAUGGAUCAACGUGCCUUUCCCGAGGCUGAAAAGUCGAGGUAAUCCGUUGAACCCCAUUCGUGACGGGGAUAGGAGCUUGCAAUUAUUCUCCUUGAACGAGGAAUUCCCAGUAAGCGCGAGUCAUCAGCUCGCGUUGAUUACGUCCCUGCCCUUUGUACACACCGCCCGUCGCUACUACCGAUCGGAUUGUCCUGUGAAUUUCUAGGAGAGUUGAGGUCCUGGCGCUUCGGUGUCGGCGACCUCAUGCUUGAAUUGAAUUGAACUGGACUCUCGAGAGGAAGUAAAAGUCGUAACA
rnacentral:rRNA from 1 species